CCCUGGUGUGACCUUUGGCUAUUCUUCCUUCAAAGUUAUUAGCCACAGCAGAAGGAUGAAAAUGGACUCCUGCCUGAGGGAGACAGGUGUGUCUCUGCAUGUGGGUAUGUGUGCAGAGAGUUCUGAUGUCUGAGGAGUUCAGAGGUGUCACCUCCCCUGGAGAUGGAGUUACAGAUGCUGAAAGAAGAGGAAGAGAUCGGAAGAAGCAUGUUUACUGGCAUGAUGGCUGAUGGCUGUGUACAUUCAAAACUGACCGAAGACAUCAACUCAUAGAUUAAAACAUCUCAACAAACCUCACGAACAGAUAUAUUAAAAAAAA